GUCCUAUUUUCGUGCAUAUGCAUUUCCAAAGUAUUGCAAGAGUACAUGCAUGAAAUUUCUCAUGAACUAGUGUUAUGUGAUCGAAGAUCGACCAAACAAGUUCUCCUCGUUGCUUGCAUGGCGGCAGACAAGCGCUGAACACAGCUGGAUUAAUCUUCUCCACUUUUAGUCAAUUCAACGACAUUACUUACCACCUUUUAUUGUUAUUCUUCAUUCCUUUGCAAUAAUGGUGUCGGCAAGGUCCACUACCUUUCUCCUCUUAGUUUUCCUUUUGCUUCCUCUAAGAUUCUCCAUCGCAGACACACAAGACCAAGGAGAAAACACAGUGCUGGUGGUUGAAACUGCAGAAAGCAAAAUAGAAAGAAGUAUGGAAGGUGAUCAAAGGAAAAUAUUUGUUCCAGGAACAGGAACAGGAAGGAAAAUGAUGAUGUCUAGAGGAGGAGUACUAAUUUCCAAGUCUGAGAAUGUGGUGGAGCCAAAGAAUGUUGUUGCAAAGGGUUCAAGUUCAACCAACCACUAUUUCGUGCCUCUAAAUGCUGAUUAUCACGAUCCAAGGCAUCACCCGCCCAAGAAUAAUUGAUAGAUAGCAGCAUCUGUUUUGAAGCUAAAUAGACCCCCAUCCACUAAUUUUGAGGCUUAUAUACAUGAAGCUAAGUCUGUUUUAGCUUGAUUAACUAGUUCUUUCGUACAAAUUUUAUGUUUGUUUUCAGUUUAAUUUGUAAUGCUAAUUAGGAUGCAUGGUCACACAAGGAUCAAAAUGCAGAAUAUAUGUAUGUAUGUAUAACAUACUUAUACGUAAACAGAGGUUUUAUUUAUGAUCAA